UGCUGUUGCUGAGAGGAAAUACUCUUGAGAUUUUGUAAUACUUUAACCUCAGGAUACAAAGAACGAUUACAACAGCAUUCACUUUCACUGCUAACUCAAAUUGUUCAAUCCAAACAGUCCAUUUGCUUUCCUUCCCCUCGAAAGAUUCUGGCAUGAGCACCGGCUGGUCAAUCCGUCUGUCCGUGGCACCCGGCUGAUCCACCACCAGCUGUCGUUCGGUUGGUGGUUAUUUGAUUGCUGUUCCCAGGUUGUUUCGACUUCUCCCUCCAUUUUCCCACCAAAGUGGCUUUGCAGCGCCAUUUUGAGCCAUCGAAACAUGCUGACUGGAUUUGUGCAAUUUUAUUUAUUUUUUUCAGGACAGAGAACGUAAAGUGGGAAACGCAACAAUGCUAUUCGCCUUUGUUAUUGAUGACGAAGUGGAUGCUUUCGAAAUUUCCCUUCUCCUGCACGAAGCUGAACAUGAUCAACACGGUCCAAGAAAUGAAUAUCCUGUUGAUGAGAACAUUUACAUACCAGCCCAAGCUCUUGUCUAAUGAUGAAUAAAAAAAAUAAAAGUAAAUUGUAUUUUCUCACAAUCCAGCCAGGUAGUGAGUGCUAGGCUACAUAGGCUACUCGAAUGAGAACAUAUACUGUUAAGUGUUUUUUUUUUUGCAGGAUAUAGGAUAUGCUUUAUUGUUUGUAAUUAUUUCAUACCCUUUUGUACCUUACUCAUGAUUAUUUAAGAUUGUGUAACAUAGAAUUGUACCAGAUGUGAUUAAAUGGAGUCCACAAAGA